CUGAAGGCGUUUCACGAGGCUUCUUGUACGGAUGAGUCAUUGGAAUAUUUAGUAAAAUACUAUAUCCGAUCAGUGUUUCUGAAAGAUCCAUGUCCCACUACACCUCCUCCUACUGAGGAGGAAAGCUACGAAGAUGAAUCAGAUGAAUCUGGUGUCACGUGUAGUCCUGAUGGAUACGAUAAAGCAG